rnacentral:tRNA from 1 species
GUUUUUAUAGUUGAAUUACAACAAUGGUUUUUCAGAUCAUUAGUCUUGGUUGAAGUCCAAGUAAAAAUU